rnacentral:rRNA from 1 species
UGGGGAAUAUUGGACAAUGGGGGCAACCCUGAUCCAGCCAUGCCGCGUGAGUGAUGAAGGCCUUCGGGUUGUAAAGCUCUUUUGGCGGGGACGAUGAUGACGGUACCCGCAGAAUAAGCCCCGGCUAACUUCGUGCCAGCAGCCGCGGUAAGACGAAGGGGGCUAGCGUUGUUCGGAAUUACUGGGCGUAAAGCGCGUGUAGGCGGUUGUCCAAGUUGGAUGUGAAAGCCCCCGGCUCAACCGGGGAACUGGCGCCGAAACGCCCUGUCUUGAGGAGCGUAGGGGGACCUGGAACUUCCGGUGGAGCGGUGAAAUGCGUUGAGAUCGGAAGGAACGCCCGUGGCGAAAGCGAGGUCCUGGACCCUUUCUGACGCUGAGACACGAAAGCCAGGGGAGCAAACGGGAUUAGAUACCCUGGUAGUCCACGCCCUAAACGAUGCAUAUUUGGUGUGGGUCAUUCAGUUGAUCCGUGCCGGAGCUAACGCGUUAAAUAUGCCGCCUGGGGAGUACAGUCGCAAGGCUG